rnacentral:lncRNA from 1 species
CUAACACUAUUACAUCCUCAUCGUGAUUUUCUUCUAUCACAUCAACCACAGUCGUGUGACUUUUCAUGACUGAGGGUGUCACCAUAGGUCUCGCCGGCAAUUUUUUAACCGACAACUCAGAUGAAUUUUGCGGUGAUCCAGAAUCGAUCACGUUCUUCGCAUUUGAUGGUGUUAAAGUAGUUGUUACCGGGAAUUUCUGAUUCGGUUGCUCCGACGAAUUCUUCAACGAUCCAGAAUCUGUCUCUUUCACCUUNNNNNNNNNUCUCUUCUCUCAUCCUUCCGAUCUGUUCGCUCAACCCGAGAGUCUGUUGAUACAUUUGUUUUGAUAGCAAUAGCAUCUUUGCAUUCCCUUCUAUCAACUUCUCUACCAACAACUGAAUGCUAUCUCCCAUCGUGUUUGUCGCACCUAUGGUGAAUCGGGUAUGGGUGGUAUGGAUCCGGCAGGUCGGACCAAUUGAUAGAACUCUAGAUCUCAAAUAAUGAAAAUAAGAUUGAAAUGGAGAAAUAUGUAAUUGUAUUGAUUGAAACCGAUGAACAAUUACACAGUUUAUGAAAAUGGAGAAUGAAAAUAACAAAGAUAACAAACUAGUAGAGAGAGUCUACUAGCCCCAAAGCACUAGGUGCCCCAAAUCACUAAAAGUGAUCCCAUUAAUUCUAACUGAAAU